CACUGAAACAACUCUCCAUUAAGUUCACUUGUAUUGGUGUCAAUGAAACAACUCUCCGUCCAGUUCACAAAGUAUAAUAAGUAAAAUAACAAAAAUACAUAACUCGAGGAAAAUUCAAACUGAAAGUUCGUAAUCAAAUGGCAAAAUCAAAAGCUCUUACACAUUAAACGAAUGGAUAUCAACUGUCAUAUUUCCUGACUUGGUACAGUAUUUUCUAAUACUUCCACUUGUAUGACAGUCGCGUUAAAUUCCGUUAUAUAGACAAUGAUGUGUGAACAAAACAAGCAUACAUGCAAAACAAGCAUACCGUUGGUGGUCUUCGACCAUUGUCUGCUCUUUGGUCGGGUUGUCGUCUCUUUAAUAUAUUCCACAUCUACAUUCUCAAUUUCAUACACAAUAGGAAAAAAUGUCAAAAAAUGUGGUACAACAGUCAACAUUGUGGCAUAUAGAAAAAGCAAAUAAGCAAAGAAUAAAGUCAAGAGUACAAAAAUAUAACCAUAGCUAAAAAAGCACAUUGACGGAAUAUAUAGUACAGAGCCACAUCAAAAAGUUAACAAUUAUAGGUCAAAGUACGGCUUUUAACAUGGAGCAUUGGUUAUUAUCAAAAGCAAACUAUAAAAUACCCCAACAUGACUAGUGUAAACUAUAAAACAGGAAAACCAACUGUACUUUUUAUAAAAAAUAAGAAACGGGAAACCCAUAUAAAUACCAACAACUGACGACUGAACAACAGGCUUCUGACUUGGAAAAUCU
rnacentral:lncRNA from 1 species